AGUCGAACGGCAGCACGGGAGCUUGCUCCUGGUGGCGAGUGGCGAACGGGUGAGUAAUACAUCGGAACGUACCCAGUUAUGGGGGAUAACUAACCGAAAGGUUAGCUAAUACCGCAUACGCCCUGAGGGGGAAAGCGGGGGACCGUAAGGCCUCGCGUAAUUGGAGCGGCCGAUGUCUGAUUAGCUAGUUGGUGAGGUAAAGGCUCACCAAGGCGACGAUCAGUAGCAGGUCUGAGAGGAUGAUCUGCCACACUGGAACUGAGACACGGUCCAGACUCCUACGGGAGGCAGCAGUGGGGAAUUUUGGACAAUGGGGGAAACCCUGAUCCAGCCAUUCCGCGUGAGUGAAGAAGGCCUUCGGGUUGUAAAGCUCUUUCAGCUGGAACGAAACGGUCCGCUCUAACAUAGCGGGCUAAUGACGGUACCAGCAGAAGAAGCACCGGCUAACUACGUGCCAGCAGCCGCGGUAAUACGUAGGGUGCGAGCGUUAAUCGGAAUUACUGGGCGUAAAGCGUGCGCAGGCGGUUUGGUAAGACAGAUGUGAAAUCCCCGGGCUCAACCUGGGAAUUGCAUUUGUGACUGCCCGGCUAGAGUGUGUCAGAGGGGGGUAGAAUUCCACGUGUAGCAGUGAAAUGCGUAGAGAUGUGGAGGAAUACCGAUGGCGAAGGCAGCCCCCUGGGAUAACACUGACGCUCAUGCACGAAAGCGUGGGGAGCAAACAGGA
rnacentral:rRNA from 1 species